GAUUUUGAGAAAAAGAGGAUGGCCUGGUGAAUUGAAGGAAUGUGGAGACCUGGAGGUGAGGCUAAAAGGGCCUUAAGGAGUGACAGAAAUGAGUCCUGGAGGGAGGAGAAGAAAGCAAGCACCUUGACCCCGGUGCCCACACCGCAAGCCUGGCACCCCAGAGGGUCGACUGGGUCGCCUGCCCCUAAAUCUGGCUCUGGCUACAUACAAAAACAGUGAAAUUGAAAUGAUGCUAAUGGCCUCCUGUGAAGUAAUUCCACCAGCCAAGAAAAAUUAAUAGAUCCUCAUUGCACAGGGGAACAUAGGAGCUGAAUUUAACAAAGAACCUGCUGUCAAGGUAACUCCACUGAUUUCAAUGAGGCAGUCUAGUCCUCUCCAUCUUUCACCUGCUGCCUGAUCUGUCUCCCUGCCUCACAUCUGGAAACAACAGGUAAUAAUCAGUUAAUACAGAUAACAACAGCAUCACACAGCCGAAUCCCUGAAAUAUGCUGAAGAGGCAAGCUGCACUGAAGACAGAGGACAAAGCUGGAUGUUGAAUUUACUUACCUCUAAUAUCUCGCCGCAUAUCUCUAAUGUGGAAUACAGUUUCUGAAAUUUGCAAAACCUCAGAUGCCAUGAUUCAUCGUUAGCCUUAAGAACAUUUGGAUGGAGCCUGAUUUUCCAUUGCCCUGCACUUCCUUGUUGGCCCUUACGGCAGUGCAAAGCAAAUGCAACAUGCAAACAUUCUGAAUAUUAGAUGAAAUCUACGUACUUCAGAACACAACUUUUAAUUUCCUCUGUACCCACUCACUUUACAAGACGGCUAAUAUUCUAAUCAGGACUCAGAUACUCGGUACUGUGCUGUAAAUUGUAAGUGUGAUGAUGGAUUACUAAUGGGCAA